AACAACUAAUGUGUACCAUUUUUGAAAUAGGCCUUCCUUCUCUUUGUUGGGGUCUCUGGGGGGACUCCAAUGUACGGAAACCCUCCUUCCCCCUUGGUUCUGAUCAAGUUAAUAAGCUACAACAAAAAACGAGGCAGAAGAGGUCCAAAAUUACCUGUAUUGCUGGGAUAGGGCCUCUAGGUCUGCCACGUGGGUCUGCUAAUACUGAAUUAGAAUUAGGCAGGUAAAUCAGCAGCAACGCACGGAGGAGGCCGUGAGAGGAGCAUUCGUGCCCUGAAGCCAGGACAGUCCCAGGGGUGGUCUGAGCCAAGCACACCCAGUUCUUCUUCCCAAACUUAGCAGUCAGUUCACUCUCUCUACCUCUUCAGGAUCAGUGAGAGUAAAGGGAAAAGAGGAGGUUAAGACAGGAGCUCAGAGAAAAAUCCUUUUUAUGGAAAAUGGGAAUGAGAAAAGGUAUUUUCUUUUUUCAAGUUUUUAAAAAAAAUAGGAGUAUAAAAUUUCAAAACUCAGAAAAAGAGAACAAUGCAAGAGUUGUACAACACAACUUUGUUGUCAUAUCCAGACGUAUGCAGAAGAGAGUUCACAUAGCAGCGCUGAGACCGUUCUCUGUAGAGAGGCCGGCUUGCGAGAUUGGCCUUUGACUGGUGUCUGGGAACCUUGGGUUUUGAAAAGGUUCCCAUCAUGGCUGCAACUGGUGGAGUAGUCACUGUGCCUGAAUGGUACAAACAAUGUGGUUUGUGCUGAACACCUGUCUUCCUUCUGGGCGUCUGGAAUUUUGGUAUGUGCUAGGCAGAGGGUGCCUGCAUGACCGGCCCCCAACAAGAAUAGGCAAUGAGUCUCUAACGAGCGACCAUCAUACACAACACUUCACGUGUGUUGUUACAACUUGUUGCUGGGAUAAUUAAGUGCAUCCUCUGGGACUCAUCUAGAAGAGGACUCUUGGAAGUUUGUGCCUGGUUUCUUCUAGACUUUUCUCCAUAUGACUUUUCCUCUGCUGAUUUUGCUUUGUAGUCUUUCACCGUAAUAAAUCUAAGCUGUGAGUAUGACUAUAUGCUGAGACCUAUGAGUCCUAUUAGAGAAUCAUCAAAACUGAGGGUGGUCUGGGGGACCACUGAUAUAAUGUGGCAAGUGGUUUCUAUUGUCCCUUUGGUUCUCAGCCAUUUCUUGAAACAAGAGUGAUUGUCUGAAGAAGGACAGUGAGGCUUAACAGACUUGGAAGGAAGAUAACAUGGAGGCUAUAUGUCCAUGGUCUACGGUGGAUUGUAUUAGGUUAAUUUAGCUAAGCUGAAAUUGUGUUUUCUUGAAUUUAAUUUCCUGCAUUGUUCUGAGUUAGCACUGGUCAUGAGAGAUAUUUUGCACAAGGUUUGGAAGGCAGAAGUGGAAUAGCAGUUAUCUGGCUUUUUAUGCUCUGAAGUUUAGUGAAGCUCUGUUGUAAUCAUGUAUGUUGUCACUUAUCCACUGGCUUUUCUGGUUGGCAUAGGACAGCAGCUGGGCUUGCAUCAACUGCAACUCCUGCCUCAUCCUCCUUUAGCCUCUCCACCUCCUGGGCCAGAUGUGUGUUUGGCUUUAUGAUGGAGGGCACCAGUGUCUCCUGCAGGGCACACCCAUCAUCAAAAUUGGAGACUUGGAGGUGGUGAAAACCAAAGCAGGUUCCAGUCCAUCUCUGUGGGUUCCAUAUCAGUGUUGCUGGUUUUGGGAGAGGCAAUCCAUCAUGGACUCUCCAUGUCCCUGUUCUUGCUGGGUAUGCCGAGAAUAUACGUCUCCACUUACUUGGGCAUUUCUCAGGAUUGUGUUUACAGCAGGCACCUCUGAGGAUGAGACAAUGUCUCCUUCUGGGACAAAGAAUGGACUUGCUUAAUGUUUACUAUGCUUACUUACUUUGGUGAAUUCUCCAAACUCAGUGUUUCUUAGCUGUGAUGCAAAUUCACCGUAUAUGCAGUAUCUAGCUGGGUCCCUCGGCAUUGCCCCAUGGGAGGCGAGGGGAGCCAAGACAAACGUGAUGUUCAUGCUGCUUGCUGUAUUGCGAGUAACACAGUUCUUUAUCUCUGACCCAGGAGACGUGCGUCUUCUGCCAGAAUCCACGGAACAGUAGAAGGCUAACUUCUUAAUUUAUUAGAUGCCUACGCGAACCUGCCACAGAGACUUCCAUGGUUGCUUACGGUUGUUUUCAAGAUGGGUUGGCUGUUGUUAUUUUUCAUUUGGUUGCUUUGUUUUGCUUUGUUUUCAUUUUUAACUUCAUGUGGGACUGAGAAGAUGGAUUAAAGCAAAAGUAUACUGAAUCUUUGUAGCCUUCCUAAUUUUUUGGCUUUUUAAAGAUUUUUCUUGACUUUGACUUUUUCCUUUCUGGAGGUUUUACAUCCCUUUUCUGGUAUGUUUUAAUUAUCCCAGUAAACAGGCCCUACGUGGCAAGAUCUUUUGUAACAAUUCCUUCAUCUUAGUUUUCUGUUUUUCUAACCUUUGUUUCUUUGUCUUCUUAAUCCCUGAAAGAUUUC
rnacentral:lncRNA from 1 species